UGGAUUUGACAUCCCGGGAAUCCUUAUGAAAGUAGGGAGUGCCCUUCGGGGAGCCCGGUGACAGGUGCUGCAUGGCUGUCGUCAGCUCGUGCCGUGAGAUGUUGGGUUAAGUCCCGCAACGAGCGCAACCCCUAUCUUUAGUUGCCAGCAUUCGGUUGGGGACUCUAAAGAUACUGCCCCGGUUAACGGGGAGGAAGGUGGGGAUGACGUCAAGUCCUCAUGGCCUUUAUGUCCAGGGCUACACACGUGCUACAAUGGUCGGUACAAAGGGUUGCCAACCCGCGAGGGGGAGCUAAUCCCAGAAAGCCGAUAGUAGUCCGGAUUGGAGUCUGCAACUCGACUCCAUGAAGUCGGAAUCGCUA
rnacentral:rRNA from 1 species